AUGGCUGUACGGGCUUAACUUAAUAGCAGUCUCUUAGAAAAACAGGAAGGCAGACAGUGAGUCAGUCUGGGAUACAUCCUGGUAAACACUUCAGGGUAGGCAAAGGGCAAAUGCUUAAACUAUUCCUUUGAGCUUCAUAACAUCCAGGUUCCUGCCAAGGUGAAUAGCUGGCAUUGCCAGAGAUGUGGUACAACAGGUCACCAGUGGUGUGAAGUACUAAGCAGAUUUUAUGCUGUGACAUGAGGGAAAUCUGUUGAAGGAAAAUGAAUGCCUGCUGCAGGCUCCAGCAGAGCACUAAGCUGAGCCAUCCCUGGGUUUUCUGCUAGGUGAAAACCUCCACAAUAAGUUAGAUAUUCUGCAAACACUGCAGUGUUCUUUUUUUAUUUUUUUUUUUCUUCUGCUCAAUAUUAAACACACUUCUCCUGAAUGAAGACUGACAGACCAGACCUGAAGAAGGUCUUUCUCUUAGCAGUUAUCACCACGAGCCUGGUAUGCAUCCAGGCAGAUCUGCUUAGGCAGUGAUGGCAAUCAGGCCAGGCAAUUCUUGUGCUGCUGGGCUACUCCUAAAGCAGCCACAAGCCAGAGGUAAAUGCACACAUAGAAGCACAAAUGCAGAUGCACUGUGCAUUGUAUCCUACAGUAGCACAUGAGCUGUACCCAGCACUGCAUUGAAUGGGAGAGAAAGGAGUUCUGUGACAUCUUUUCUUCUGUUUCAGUCACCAGUGCAGGCUGCUCUAAGGCUUUCCUGUUUCAGAUCUUAUAGAGCUGCUCUGCCAACUGGAGAUCAGCCAGCAUCAAUGUGCGAACCAAAAAUGUUACAGUUCUUUGAUAAUGCUGUUGCAUGAAUGUUUUUCUCAGCCCUAGGAAAGGUAUUCCCUUUUCACAAAGACAGUUUUUGGAGAGAGGAUGGAUCCAGGAUUUCCAGUCUUUAAUCACACUUAAGAAUCUGAUCCACCGUUUGCUUGAUCCCUAUUACAGCUGCUCAUCCACCACUUUUUCAAAGAAUGUCGAGCUGCUGACCUGCUUUCAUCCCAUAACCACAGCACAGACUGUUUUGUUGCCCCUCCUCACAAUUGUCCAUAAAUUAGGACACAGUCUAUUGUAAACUUUCAUGUCCUUUAUGUUAUGUGAGUAUAGAAUGGGUUGGACUAUCCGGGAAAUGAACUCCAAGGGUUCCCUACCACAAUAAGACCAGCUGAAUACAUCAUUCUUUUUGCUCCUCCUGGGGAAGGGAAGCACUAUUGAUAAAAGCAGAUGAGUAACAGUUAGCAUUUGUUUGGUAAGCAUGUGUAUUCUUGCAGAUGAAUCAAUUGAAAGGUCAUUACAUUCUAAAAGCAUUAUCUACAGAUAUAUGGACAUUCUGUUUUAUUUAAAAGAUGAAAAGUCACUACUCAGCAAUCAUAAAUGAAUGAUCCUUUGUGUUUUCAAGUUCUCAUUUUUGUCUCGUAGAGAAACUCACUUAGCAGAUUAGCAGGGCACAGUAGGCAGGAUUUUUUUUUUUCAGUAUUUUGUCACAAUAAGACCAUGUGAAAACAAUCUAUCCAUGAUACACAAAUGGUGAAAAGGGAACGAUUUGUUAUGUCAUAGAACACAGGGCAUAACACAGGGCUCCCAGACAUCAAUCAGGCAGUUGAUGUAAAGUAGAAUUCAAUAGCACAAAAUGUCACAGAGGCCAAAACUAUGUAUUGGUUCAAAAUGAGACGAAAGAGAUAAUGGAAAAUAUAUGUGUUUCUUAUGUCCAAUGGCAUAGAUAUUACUUGCCUUUAGCUUAGAUAUCUUACUACCACUGAACGCCAAAGGAUGAGAAACACAAGAGUAUUUGGUUUAUUUGCCCUACUUCUAUUUUCUUUCAUAAGCAUUCUAUCCUAGUCACUGCUGGGGAGUGAAUGGGACUUUCAUCUGAUCUGAUAUGGAUGCUUUGCAUAUUCACAUAAAUGCAGCUGUUCAGUGUGUCAAACUGUCACUGCGUCUUCUCUCAUUCAUAAGAACAGAAUUCCUGAGAAAUACACUUGAAUUAUGGAAGGUGUGAGUUCAGCUUUGUGAAAGGCUGCAAAGAAGUUCCCAAACAUCACUGUGUGCAUAGCAAUGUUUUGUAACAAACUAAACUGAAGCCUUCGUGCCUCACUCAUCUAUAAUAAACACUGAAGUGAACCUCAGUUGGGCCGAGCAGACUUUUUCCAGGUUUGCCAUUUUGGUAAAAGCACACAUAUUUUUAAGCAUUUUCAGUUAUCUCCCAGGGCAUAAAAGGCCCAGACUUCCAGAAACCAAUGAAAGAUAUCAUUUAUUGUACUUUGUGUUCUUAGGUAUUCAUACACGUGUAAAUAUGAUUAUGAAACUGCACUAAGUUAUAAGUUAAUGGAGAGUUCAGAGUUGCAUCUUUAAAAGGUAUUUGGUGGUGGUGUACCAAAGAGAAGGACGUAAUCCCUGCCAGUGAUCCCUUCCCAUCUUCAGAAGUUGUGUUUGAAAAACAGUCUUCAGCCCUUCCAGCAAAAUCAGCUCCAUUGCUACAAAGCUGUGGUUGCUGGAUAUUCUCCCCUAACUUCUAAGCUAUUUCCUACAAAAUGUUAGGAAUCUCCUGCCUGAAAGCAUAGCAAAUGAAGGUGUUUAACAUUCGCAUCACUUGAUAGUAAUCAGACCCUUAGUUGACAUACGGAUGGUCUUCCUGUAUGCUCGAGAAAGCUCCCUUUGUGAUGGGAUAUGUUUUCCACUGCAAAAAGUUCUGUUCUGGGCUAUUAUUCAUAGUUCUGUUGUGCCUGCUUUAAAUUGUUAUGCCUUCAUUUGAUUCUAGUACUAAAGUGCUUUGAUAAGAUGAGAGAUAACGUGAAGAUGAAGUUUAUUGAUUUAUAUUCCGUACAUGAUUGCUUUAUUAGAUGAAAACAGUUUUUACAGAUUUCCUGGAAUGAUGUCAUUCAGUGACUACUGAAAAAUUAUCACAUGCCCUCAGGUCACCUUGAGAGUGAGUUGCUCUCUCUGCUUUGGGCAGAAAGAAGAUCUGGAAGUCCCCUCUUGGAAGUCCUGCAGCUUUGUGUCCAAACAACACAGAAAGAAGGACAAAGGAAGGUGAAUAAGGAACUGCUCUCUCUGCAACCUCUUUCCAGAGGCUAAACAUGAAGUCAGUGCUGCUUCUAGUAAAGUUAUCUUCAGAUCUGCAUCUCUUCCCUUCCUGCAGAAGAGAAUCAGUGCUAAGAAGGGUGAAAAAGGCAGAAGAAACAGGGCAACAGUGGGGAAUUCUGAAGGGGUUGGGUCUGAAGAUUAGAAAUAAGUAAAUUUCCCCAUCCUAUGGAGAAUGCUCAGGGUAUACAAUUGCCAAGGAGCAGUUUUCCUACAAAGGAUUGCUUUUGUUGUUGCUUUGUUGUUGUUGCUGUUGUUUGUUUGUUUGUUCGCAGACCAGUGGGAAAGCCAUUCUAGAAGUUGGUUAGGAAUCCUGUCUAUUCUCUGAACAAUGAAUAGGUUGGUGAACAGGGUUGUAAACAAACUCGUCUGUUCUAAAUGCUCUCCCAGUUUAAAAUACCUUUCUAUAGCAUUUUUCAAAAGCUUCAUGGAUAAUUAAAAAUAAACUAAUAGGAGAAGGUCAGUGGUAAUUUAUUAAGCCAGUAAUUCUUGUAACUCAACAUUAAGAGGUGGCAGUUCACUGCUAACAAUGCCACUGUUGUCUGAGUCCUUCUAGGCAAAGAACCAGAAAACACUUCCAAGCUAAUUGGAAUCUGCAUGAAGCAUUCAUUCUUUCAACACAUAUAGCAUCCCAGCAGAAAUCAGUGACUAACAGUGCAUUUAUUGAUAGAACCAGCCCAAAAGACUAAGCGAGUCAGCUCUGCAGUUCUUGAGCCAUGGUGCCCCUUCUGUCUCACAUGUAUGAAGAAACUUCACCGUGGCUGGGCUGCAAAGGAGGUUGUGAAAAGGGAUGUGGAAGGAUGUGACCUGUGCACUGGAGAGAGCAGUGAUUUUUGGGAAAUCUCUGCAUGAAGUCAGAGGAGACCAGCAGAUUUGUGACCACCGUUAAUGCUCCACGAUCCCUGACGGGCGUUCACUCACACUGUUGAUUAAGCAGGGCUAACCAUGCUGCCUUGUGAGGGCCUGGUGUGCUAUCCCAGAAUGUAGCUUCUUCUGGGUUUCUGAGUUCCUACAGCACAUCAGGCCAAAUGGAAGCUGUUCCAUAUGAAAAAAACUUUGAUCCCACUGCAGUGCCCUCCUGAGAGCCCAUAUUAUCUAUAUUAUUCCACUAUCCAAGUCUUCCAGCCCACUAAAAAUUCCAAAGAAUGGAAAGCCUCAGCAUCUGGAAGGAGCAUAUGCAGGGAAGAGGUUCAUGUCUUUAAAAGUAAAACCACAUGCCUAUGGCAUAGCUAAAUUGUGCAGCUUAGGUUGCUUUUUUUUAAGACUAUAGAGGUUAAAACAUUCCUUUGGCUUCCUCCCUCAGUGUUGGCUCAGCUACACCAAUGUUCACACAGUGGAAGUGGUCUGGAUGCCACCUCCAUUUUGGAACUGUACCAGCAGCUUCCUGAGUUACCAAAAAGGGCCAUUUGGUUUGCAGCGUUCAUCCUGCCCUAGCCACGUGGCACUGGUUGGCAGGUGUCUCUGAUCCUGGUUUGCUUGGUUCUCAGUGCAGGGGAAGAGUAACCCAACUGUUCUGCCGUGGUCAUCUGUCGUUAUUCUGUAAGUCUUUUCUGGGUGGUGAUAGAAAAAUAAGUGGCUUUACAGGAUGUUCCUCCAAGAAAUUGGUUGUACUUCUCAAGAAAUUGUCUCUGGAGUUUAAAAUAUGUUACCAGGAUACUUGUCAUGAUUUAUUGUUUACUAUUGACUUUCAGCAUAAAUAUUUGAAUGCUUGCCACGUGAAAAGUCCUAAUUAUUGUCUACAUACAGCCUGGUGAGUUCAUUUGAAAUGCUUUGUUUCCUGUUCCUUUCGGUAGAAUGUAAGAUACAAUACUAGCUAAAGAAAUUGAGAAAUUGUUUCUUUUUUUUUUUUUUUUGCUAGCACUUUCUGACCAUCUGGACAACUUGGAAGUACAAUCAUCUGCCUACUCAAAGAGAAGCCAAAAAGGUCUGAGGUCCCACUGCUGGUCAGGACUGUCAGUAAUUGUUACUAUCCAAUAUAAUCUCUUUUUGUUAUUUCCUUAGCUAAUAAAGAAAGGUAGCAUAAUUCCUGACAUACUACAAUCCAGCUUAGGGAAGAAUCCUGCCCUACUGAGCAUACAUGUGAUGAGAAUUGGUGACAUUGAUUUCUGAGGAAAAUCCUGCAGGUCUUAAGAGUAGCUUCUUGUCAAUUUACUGGUUGUUACGCUGGAAAUGAACUACAGGACUUGGCCCCACAAAAAUACAGCUUUCCUAACAAGCAAUUAAGGCACUGACAGGAAGAGCAGGAAUGGGACAGCUGUUAGGGUGCACAAUAGUGGCUGAUAAAUACUAGAACUAUUCUAGAAGGAAGAAGGUAACCUGAAAGGUGGAACUGCCCUUUUUUGGUUAUGACUUCUAGAGUUUUUGUAGAGCUCAGAAGAGAGCUCUUCAAUUUGUGUUCUGGGGUUACUACCAGUCCCUAAAAUAUUACAGCAUCACUGGUAAGAGACCUGAGAAAAUAAAGUAGGAAACAUCCAUUUUUCCAAUGAAAUGAACAAGAAAAAGAAAAUAGAAGUAAUGAACGAACAGUCAAUAUUUAGAAUAAAUACUGUUGAGAUAAAUGAAAGUUGUUUGGUUUUAGGUCUUCUUUUAAAAGGCUGCUUCAUCAGUGGAUUUUUUUUAAUAUUCAGUGGCUACAUGGCCUUUUAAUUAAGUAUGUUUGAGACAUGCUGCAAUAGACACUAGUUUUACUUGAGAAGCUCUAAGUUACUCAAGCAUUUUAUGUUCCUGUAUAACCUGAUGACUAUUUAAUUGAAUUACUGUGGGUCAUGGGCAUUACAAUUUCAACAUACACUGUUGGGAGCACUGUCUUUACCUUUUCUAAUCUAAAAAUGUAAGCUCCAGUGGUCAAGGGAGCAAUAGACAGAAUGUGGGUUCUAAAACAGUGCAGUAGGCAGUGGGGUUGGCUUUUAGAGCCUUUCUCCUUGUGAUUGCUUGACAAGAGCUGGCACUAAUUCAGACUUACCUGAAUUUCUACCUUGAUUUUAGACUUCAGUCCUAUCAAAGAAGUAGUAUACAAAUAUCUCCUAAGGGCACUAGGCUACAUAAAAUACUAUUAGGAAUGUUAGAAUACUUCUCAUUUGACAGAGUUUUCAAAAUGGGUUCAUUUAAUUGAGGAUGCCUUAUCAUCGCUUCAAAGAGAUUUGCCUAGAACUUUCUGGAGGGAGAAGGAAGAGCAAAGGAGUGCAGUGGGACACCUGCAUUCCUACAAUUCCUUCUGAAUUUCAAAAUCACAGACCUAAAAUCCAACACUGAGGUCUCUCUGUGAUGCAUUUUAGCCUGGAUUAAGUCGGAAUGUGGAACCAACACUUCUUGAAUGUAAAUACUGCCCGCUGUAUUUCAGAAGAAAGGUUAUGUAUCAGGAUAUUCAUUUCAUUUGUAUGUUUUCUUUCUUUUUAAAUGUCUGCACAUAUGCAUAUCUUUAUAAAAAUUCAUAACACAAAACCCCUCAUAUUUCUGUCAUUCUCAGCAUACAGCUCUCAAUCUGCAACAACUGUCAUUUUUAAAUGGAUCUUAUCCAUGCUUAAUCUGUGUUUCAAGGAUAGCACUCAACCAUACAGUCUAGCUGCCAAUCUCUUUCAACAAACACUGAAGGAAAUCUAACAUACCUUUCCCUAACAGAUUUUUUUUAUUAGCUUUAUUAUGUGUUUUUAAGUCAAACAGCUUUUGAACUGUGAAAAAAUCUAAGGACAUCUUCACAUUUCUAAGUGUGAUUCAUCAGACAUUCCAAAUUUUUACAAGUUAUAGUUGGAGAGCACUCAUGAGAGCUGAGAUGAUUCAAGCACUGUCUUGUUACUAAUUGUAGCUUUAAGAAAGUAGCAAAAAAAUAUCCUUAAAUUGCAAGCCUGCUGCUUCCUGCUGUGUUUUUGCUGAGUUACUUAGCAAGCUACUUCCAAAUACUUAACCUCUCCUGCAAACUAACCUAACCAAACCAAGCUCGCCCUGAAAAUGUUCGGUUGUUCCUCAGGAAGAUGUAAAAUUUUUGGUUUGAUGGUGGGUUUUUUUUGCAAAAUGUAUUCUGUAGGUGGUUAGAACAGCAUCUUAAUUAUAACCAGGUCUGAGGGAGUUGGUCGCUAUAGCAACAGUCUAUUUAGUGCGUUUUAAGAGGAAAGCCCAACUCGCCUGAAUGUUUGAGGGAAGACAGAACGAAAGAGGAAGGGAGGCUGAGCUUUCUUUUCUCUAAGCCACAAACUGCAGCAUCCUCUGUUUAAAGCAGGCAUGCGGGGGAGCAGCUUCCAUUUCCUCAAUGGUUCUCAUGCUGCUGACAGGCUCCUUGGCUGUCUGUAUAAAAUACAACCUUCCUUGAUUUCAGAAAUGCAACUGCGCCAGGGCUAAUUAAGGAUAACACCGCACUGAAUAUUUCCUAAAUGUGCAGACAGAAAUAGGAGGCAUGAUCUCCCUAAAAAAGCUGGAGCUGAGGAAAUGUCUGAUGCAGUGUCUUGUCCAGUGUGUGUCCUGCUAUACAGAAGCUCCCCCUAUGUCCUUACUGAAGUCAGAGGGAAUUUGGUGUCAGCUGAUUCCUCUGCAAGCAUCUCCUGGGUUGUGUAUCUGCCUUUGAUUCAGUGCUAUGGAAUUGUUUUUUCAGAGUGCCUGGUAUGGUGCUCUGCUUUGGUUCUAGGAGAAAAACAACGUUGAUAACACACUGAUGUUUACAGCUGCUGCUAAGCAGUGCUGUACAGAACCAGGCAGUUCUCAGCAAAGGGCCCAAGGAACUGGGAGGGAACAGAGUGAGUGAUUUACAAAAGGCAUAUUCCAUACCAUGUGAAAUCAUGGAGGGGAAUGGGAGUUCACCUCAUGCUCUGCCACUGCUCUGGGUCUAGUUGGGCAUUGGUCAGAGGGUGGUGAUCAAUUGUUUGUGCAUCACUUGUUGUAUACAUACAUAUAUAUUCAUGUAUACAUAUAGUCACAACUAUUAUCCUUUCCCUUUUCUCUAUCAUAGCAAAUAGAUUUAUCUCAACUUAGGAGCUUUAUUUCAUUUUUUUCCAGUUCUCUCCCCCAUCCCAUUGGGAAGGGAGGAGUGAGCAAAUGAUUGUGUGCUGCUGAGCCACCUGCUGGGUUAAACCACAACAGUAUCACAGACACAAAGGCACUGAGGUUUGUUUCCCCUCUCGUGGCUUAAGAUGGAAAAUUAUACCAAGGGGACAAAAAUCCUUACUCCUGCCAAAUCUUAGGCAGUGAUGCUUCCCUCCCCAUCACUGUCAGUUACUGCCCAUACCUUGAGCAGUGUGACCAAAGCACUGACCCAAGGCUCAAUUUUGGGGCUGCUGCUGGAGUUAUCAGAGCUAUUGUGAGCAUAGCACUGCGGGUGCUGUGCAAGCCUGCAUGUUUUAACAGCAUGCUGAACACUUGAUUUUCAUUUUGUGCAUAAUGAUUUAUAACUUGCUGGGAUUCUGUAGGCUCAGCACAUCUCCUUUGCAGAAGCAGAGAGGAAAGAGGAGCCCUGGUUUGUGCAGCUUUGCUGGAGCAAAGGGCCAGUUCUAAAUCAUGGCUUUGAUUCCACUGUGACACAGUGUCCCCACCCCAUCAGGCUCAGCCUCUGAGGUGGAGAUGCAGAGAUCUUCUUUGCAUGGGGAGAAGGGUUUGUCCCCUUGAGUGGGGUUUUGUGCUCCUGAGGGUGCAGAGAAUUAUUGGGGAGGAAUAAUGAUGUUGAAGAGGAUCACCUUGAAGGAAGAGGAGAACUUGCUGGCUGCAAUCUGAUGGUGUCAUUUAUGCAAUUGUCACCACCAGCUGCCGCUACUGCUAAGUGCCACGGGAUCGUUUAAGCUCUACCUCAAUGGGCCUCCCACAGAGCUUGAAGAGGGAGAGUUAGAUUUGAUGGUGUACUCGGCAGGAAGAAUCGAACAUACAGCACUUCUUCACUCCUCCCUCUGGUGAGCUGUGUUGCUGUCCAAGAACUGGGAACUACUUUCUCACCUCCAAAUGUUGUAAAUGAGAUGCAGUGCUCCUGAUUCUAAUUCCAUUAAAAAUUGCCACACCAGAUGCA